AGAAGCCAAUCAAACGCCGGGGAGGCGGGGCAAGCGCCUGAAGCGGACCGACUAUAUAAAACCGCAUGUCGGCAACAUUCACUCCGCAGGCGGCCGAAAGGUUCUCUCACCCGGGUGGGGCUCCCCCCCCCGCUGUUCUAACCCUAAUUAGCCGUUAACGGCUCUCGCUCACAUUCGCUGUUUUGACCGUUGACUUUCAGCGAUUCGAAUUCUUUUUUCAAAAAACGUCACCCGUGUAAUGGGGAGGUGCCUUCUCCUCCGCCUGCCGCGCCUUCUCGCCCAACUCCUUUCUCCUGAAGCGGCCAGAGCCCGACCCCCGGUGAAGAGGCCGCGGUCAGCCUGGCCCUGGGCCGCUGCUGCCGCGAAGGGUUCGGCCCUGUCAGCCUUGGGGAGCGGCGCGGCCGGCUGAAGGGCGGUUGAGGAGCUUGGGGGCGGGGACCGGCGCGAGAGCAAAACAAACCAACCGGGCGGUGCUGCGGUUCCCCGCGAGCCGGUGCCGCGCGCUCCUGAGCAGUGGGGCGCGCGGCCGACGCUGCCCGGACACACAAAGCUGUUGCUAUUGCUAUUAUCUGCCCUCUUCCCCCCACCCCACCUCACCUACUCGAAAGGGGAGGAGGGAAGGAGCUGAUGGUGGAGGCGAGCGCGGAAUAAAUGCGCCUUAAGAAGCAAUGCGAGGAGAAAGUUGUGCCCUUGGCCCCUCAAGUUUGGCUUAAAAGAAGCCCCACGCCCACCAUGGACUAUAGAGUUUAAGGGAGGGAGGCUCUGUUGGUGCACGGUGAUCUGAGGAGCUUCUGAGAGAGGAGAAGACAGCUACUAAUGAGAUUAAUUCAUUGGAG